GGGUAUAUAGCUCAAGUGGCCGAGUGCAUGCUUAGCAUGCAUGAGGUCCUGGGUUCAAUCCCCAGUAACUCCU
rnacentral:tRNA from 1 species